rnacentral:snRNA from 1 species
AUACUUACCUGGCAGGGGAGAUACCAUGAUCACAAAGGUGGUUUUCCCAGGGCAAGGCUUAUCCAUUGCACUCCGGAUGUGCUGACCCCUGACAUCUCCCCAAAUGUGGGAAACUCAACUACAUAAUUCAUGGUAGUAGCGGACUGUGUUCUUACUUUCCCCUG